rnacentral:rRNA from 1 species
GAGUGGCGAACGGGUGAGUAACACGUGGGUAACCUACCUCUUAGCAGGGGAUAACAUUUGGAAACAAGUGCUAAUACCGUAUAAUACCAACAACCGCAUGGUUGUUGGUUGAAAGAUGGUUCUGCUAUCACUAAGAGAUGGACCCGCGGUGCAUUAGCUAGUUGGUAAGGUAACGGCUUACCAAGGCAAUGAUGCAUAGCCGAGUUGAGAGACUGAUCGGCCACAAUGGGACUGAGACACGGCCCAUACUCCUACGGGAGGCAGCAGUAGGGAAUCUUCCACAAUGGGCGCAAGCCUGAUGGAGCAACGCCGCGUGUGUGAUGAAGGGUUUCGGCUCGUAAAACACUGUUAUAAGAGAAGAACGGCACUGAGAGUAACUGUUCAGUGUGUGACGGUAUCUUACCAGAAAGGAACGGCUAAAUACGUGCCAGCAGCCGCGGUAAUACGUAUGUUCCAAGCGUUAUCCGGAUUUAUUGGGCGUAAAGCGAGCGCAGACGGUUAUUUAAGUCUGAAGUGAAAGCCCUCAGCUCAACUGAGGAAUGGCUUUGGAAACUGGAUGACUUGAGUGCAGUAGAGGAAAGUGGAACUCCAUGUGUAGCGGUGAAAUGCGUAGAUAUAUGGAAGAACACCAGUGGCGAAGGCGGCUUUCUGGACUGUAACUGACGUUGAGGCUCGAAAGUGUGGGUAGCAAACAGGAUUAGAUACCCUGGUAGUCCACCACCGUAAACGAUG